CCCCACCCACUCGGCCAUCGGCGAUUCAGCUCGCCACACCCUGCCUGCCGGCUCGGUUUCACAUAUGGACAUUAAUUCCCGAGCCAGUCAGUGGUGGACCUAUACCCGCCACCAUCGCUUGUCCAUUCCGAGAAAACCGCAGAAGCUAGAUAUCUGGCAGUGGCACCGCUCCCCCGUGAAGAAGACGACGUCGGGCUCGGACGGGCCCUCCGCAACCCCGACCACACCGGCGGCAAUGGCCCCUGCAUCACCUGCCCCACCUCUUUUCAGAUCUAGGUCGGCGGCACCGCCUCUUCCCCUAGCAGAUCCGGCCUCCCAUGGUGGUGGCAGCGGCCUUCCACAACGGCUGAUGCGGUGUGUGUCAGACGGUCGCAGCUGAUGAUGCGGAUCGACAGAUGGUGGCUGCCGGCGGUGCUCCUUCUUCUCCGCAGGCGGCAGGGCAUGGCUGUGGUGCCUCCAUCCGCCCCUCGGCAUCGGCGCGUCAGGCACCGCGCGGAUUGGCCCCUCGGCGGCGAUGCGUCCUCCAGCAGCGGUGCCUUGCCUCGCGUGGACGCCUGGACGGGGGACCCGACACAAGCGAAACCUACCCCACGCGAGCGGUAUCCCUCGAGUGCGGCGUUGGUGAAUGGUGACCGAUCGGGGAGGCAGCGCGCUGCUACUGCUAGUGCUGCCAGUACGGAGCCUCAAGGCCUCUGAGGAAGCAGCCUCUCGACCGCUCGUUCUGCACUGCUCCGAGCUUAAUUCCGAUGGACAGUUUUGAAGAAAAAGUUUGAAACAAGCUUGCUUUCUUAUUUUGCUGGUGAGACCCCCAUUCUCAGUGAUGUUUUCUACUUUUCACCAUUGCAGAUUGAAAUCAAUUUGAUUUAGAAAACCAGAACUGAACUAAUGGAAUUAAUUCCGGUGGUUACUUAGGCCAAGGUUACAGUAAAUUCAUUUGUUCUUGUUAAUGACUUAUCAUGUAUCAUGGUUAGCUUAUAAUGUAAAUCACAGAUGUGUUAUUCGUUCUAAUGUUCAUUCACCACAGAUGAACGAGAAGGGGCCCAAGUUUGGGUUAGAGCUGCACUUCUACAUGCUUUUGCAUCCACUAAACAUUGACUAAGCAGCUUUGAGCUUGACCUGAGGCUCAUAUGGCAUGAUCUUGAUCGUCCUAGAGUCGUUCAAAAUGAGUGGAGACCUAGUAUCAUUCUAAUGGAAAAAUAGAUCAAUGUACUGUUUCUAUUUUUUACAAGUUUUUUUUUUUUGAGAAAUAUGUAAUCACUUUCAUGCCAAUUGUAUGUAACACCACAGCCUAAUUAUCAUUUCCAAUAUUCUGAAAUGUUGUAAGUGGUUUCUUUCUCAUUUGUUGAGAAAUGUAAGUGUUUUCUUAUAGCGACUCGAUAGGAAGUUGUGGCAAUUCUCCAACAAAAAUAUCAUAAAUAAUGUAUUUCUGGUUUAUUGUAA